UAAAUUUCUUCGAGAACAAAGCGAGUGG
rnacentral:sRNA from 1 species